CUUGACCGACCCCAGGUACAGCGGUUCGGCGCGGUCCUGGCCGUAGGCGGCGAGGACGGCCUGCGCCUC
rnacentral:antisense_RNA from 1 species